rnacentral:rRNA from 1 species
UACGGAGGGUGCAAGCGUUAUCCGGAUUCACUGGGUUUAAAGGGUGCGUAGGUGGGCAAGUAAGUCAGUGGUGAAAUCUCUGAGCUUAACUCAGAAACUGCCAUGGAUACUAUUUGUCUUGAAUGUUGUGGAGGUAAGCGGAAUAUGUCAUGUAGCGGUGAAAUGCUUAGAUAUGACAUAGAACACCAAUUGCGAAGGCAGCUUACUACACAAAUAUUGACGCUGAGGCACGAAAGCGUGGGGAUCAAACAGG